AGCUCCAAUAGCGUAUAUUAAAGUUGUUGCAGUUAAAAAGCUCGUAGUUGGAUUUCUGGCUUCGAAGCGCCGGUCCGCGCGUAACCCGCGUGUUGCACUCGUGUUGCUUCAGGCCAUCCUCACGGAGACCGCGUCCUGGUAUUCAGUUAUCGGGGCGCGUGGACCCGUGUCAUUUACUGUGAAAAAAUUAGAGUGUUCAAAGCAGGCGCAUCCGCUCUGAAUACAUUAGCAUGGAAUAAUAAGAUAGGACUUUGGUGUCUAUUUUGUUGGUUUGCACACCGAGGUAAUGAUUAAUAGGGAUAGUUGGGGGUAUUCAUAUUCAAUUGUCAGAGGUGAAAUUCUUGGAUUUGUGGAAGACGAACUACUGCGAAAGCAUUUACCAAGGAUGUUUUCAUUAAUC
rnacentral:rRNA from 1 species